GUGGGGAAUCUUGCGCAAUGGGGGAAACCCUGACGCAGCAACGCCGCGUGAGUGAUGAAGGUCUUCGGAUCGUAAAGCUCUGUCGGCAGGAACGAUGGCUUCGUUGGCUAAUAUCCAACGAGGUUGACGGUACCUGCAAAGGAAGCACCGGCUAACUCUGUGCCAGCAGCCGCGGUAAGACAGAGGGUGCAAGCGUUGCUCGGAAUUAUUGGGCGUAAAGGGCGCGUAGGCGGCUUUGUAAGUCGCAUGUGAAAUACCAGGGCUCAACCCUGGAACUGCAUGCGAUACUGCAUAGCUUGAAUCUCGGAGAGGGUGGUGGAAUUCCCAGUGUAGAGGUGAAAUUCGUAGAUAUUGGGAGGAACACCGGUGGCGAAGGCGACUGCCUGGACGAAGAUUGACGCUGAGGCGCGAAAGCGUGGGGAGCAAACAGGAUUAGAAACCCGAGUAGUCC
rnacentral:rRNA from 1 species